GGAAAAGAAACUAACAAGGAUUCCCCUAGUAACGGCGAGUGAAGCGGGAAGAGCUCAAAUUUGAAAUCUGGCACUUUCAGUGUCCGAGUUGUAAUCUCGAGAAGUGUUUUCCGCGCUGGACCGCAUAUAAGUCUGUUGGAAUACAGCGUCAUAGUGGUGAGAACCCCGUAAUUGAUGCGGACGCCCAGUGCUUUGUGAUACACUUUCGAAGAGUCGAGUUGUUUGGGAAUGCAGCUCAAAUUGGGUGGUAAAUUCCAUCUAAAGCUAAAUAUUGGCGAGAGACCGAUAGCGAACAAGUACCGUGAGGGAAAGAUGAAAAGCACUUUGGAAAGAGAGUUAACAGUACGUGAAAUUGUUGGAAGGGAAACGCUUGAAGUCAGACUUGCUGUUUGGAAUUCAGCCGCAAGGUGUACUUUUCAGAUAUGCAGGCCAGCAUCAGUUUUUGGGGGUGAAAAAGGGUAUUGAGAAGGUAGCAGUUUCGGCUGUGUUAUAGCUCUUUGCUGGAUUCAUCCUUGGGGACUGAGGAACGCAGCUCACUUUUUGCACGAUCUUCGGAUUGUUCUGAGCUUAGGAUGCUGGUGGAAUGGCUUUAAACGACC
rnacentral:rRNA from 1 species